GACGAACGCUGGCGGCGUGCUUAACACAUGCAAGUCGAACGGAAAGGCCCCUUUGGGGGUCCUCGAGUGGCGAACGGGUGAGUAACACGUGAGUAACCUGCCCUUGACUUCGGGAUAACUUCAGGAAACUGGGGCUAAUACCGGAUAGGAAUCCUUGCUGCAUGGUGGGGGUUGGAAAGCUUCGGCGGGUUUGGAUGGACUCGCGGCUUAUCAGCUUGUUGGUGGGGUAGUGGCUUACCAAGGCUUUGACGGGUAGCCGGCCUGAGAGGGCGACCGGCCACAUUGGGACUGAGAUACGGCCCAGACUCCUACGGGAGGCAGCAGUGGGGAAUAUUGCACAAUGGGCCGAAGCCUGAUGCAGCAACGCCGCGUGCGGGAUGACGGCCUUCGGGUUGUAAACCGCUUUCAGCAGGGGCGAAGCUUGUGGUGACGGUACCUGCAGAAGAAGCACCGGCUAGCUACGUG
rnacentral:rRNA from 1 species